UUGUGUGGGUGUCCGAGGAAGCCUGAGACCACUCAGGAGCGUGGCAGCUCGUCUUGGAGGCCCCUGUAUGUGUCAGAGCCAAGCAGUGAGUCAGGAGCUUGAGCAGGGCCGCAGCGAUGAGGCUCGUGGGAGGGAUUUGAACGGGGAGCGACUGUUCUGCCUGGUGACUGGUUUAGGCAGGAUCGAAGCUGGGAGGGAACAGUUGGUGGGGAGCCAGGUGUGACAUCGUGUGACAGUGGCCGCUGGCUGCAGGGCUUUGCAGGCAUUGCUGUUUUGGAGAGUCCGGGGUUGCUUUUGGGAUCUGCGGGUCGGGCCGCUCUGGCAGAAGCCCCACCUUGUGAAAGCAGCCCCAAGGUCAGGGCCAGGGUUCCUUCCUCACUGAAGCGCAGGCCUCACGCAGUGGCCGGCUGAACCCCACCUGGAUUCCAGACCCAGCUCGCAUCUGAGUCACCUGGAUCAAGGGCUUCUGGUUUCCUUAGCUGGGAAGUGGGUAAUUAGGAGAGCCCAGAUGUGAUCUGAGGGCUGUAAAAGCACUUGUAUUUCCCAACAUCGUACGUGUGUAAGAAGGGAUCACAAGUCACUGCCGGUGGCAGCGUGGGCUGAGUUUCAAAGCUGCUGUGAAUGACCUGAAAACUGGAGGUUUGUCACAGUCACCUAUUUGUUUAACAUCCACCGACUCCCUGAUGUGGGCCCUGCCUUGCUGGGUUCCACGUCACCCUGUCGGCGGGUGGGACAGGGUGGGAAGGGACACUCCGGUGGUUAGGAACCAGUGUGACAAGGCCACGGCAUAGAGUUCCGAGCUCGGGGGCAGAUCUGGGCUGUGGUCUGGCUCUGCCAUGUACUAGCAGCGUGACAUCAGCGUGACAGCAGCAGGAAAAAGUGGUCAUUCCGCCCCUCUCAUCACUAACGACUACGGCCGUUUUGGUUUGUUUUCAGUCUUGCCAGGCAUUGUUUUGAAAGCUAUUUUCUUCAUUCAAGUAAAUAUGGCCAGGGCACCAAAUUCAAAGGGAAUGAGAAGCGUCACACUGAAAAAAAAACCACUGUCCUUUCUGCCCUGUAGCCUCUCUCCAGGGGCCAUGGUGACACCGGCGAUGACGUGAACAGCACUUGCCAGCCCGGGUGCCUGCUCGGCGCCCUGCGUAUCCACUAAUGAAAACUCCCAACAGACCCAAGAGCUCGAUUCCACAGCCAGCGCCGGUUUACAAGUUGGGAAACAGACACCGGGUUUGGGAUUAUUUGCUGGUCCCAAGGCCAGCUGUGUGCUUUGCAGCCUCCCACCCCACAAGCUUCCGGGUCAUUCUGAAUGGUUCACUUUACUAUUAAAAACCUCUCUUAUUGUUCUA